rnacentral:ncRNA from 1 species
CUUAAUUUGACUCAACACUGGAAAUCUUAACCGGUACGGACACAGGAAGGAUUGACACAUUAAGAUCUCUUUUUUGAUUGAGUGGGUGGUGGAUCAUGGCCGUUCUUAGUUGGUGGAACGAUUUGUCUGGUUAAUUCUGAUGACAAAUGAAACUCUAGCCUACUAAAUAGAUUAUCCGAUCCUUCGAGUUGGACCAUCUUCUUAAAGAGACAAGCGACGUUUUGACGAGACAGAGGAGUAAUAGGUCUGUGAUGCCCUUAGAUGUCCUGAAUAG